ACUAAUUUUAACAUAUUACUAUUAUUAACAUUAGCAGUGCUAAUACUUUUAUAUUGUAGGAGUCUGACACAUACCACAACAAGCAACUGACGAUCCAUAAAAAUAUUGAAAUAUAUUUCGAAAAUAUAUUUUAAAAAUACAUAUUGCGUGUGUGUGUGUUUACAUAGGCUAUUUCUGAAAUUAUAUUCAUGCAUCAUGAUUUUUAAUCAAUGUGUUUUUGCAAUGCAUUUUGUUUCUACACUACGUUUACCAUUUUUAAAGCUAUCAUUAUAUUAUAUUAUAUUAUAAAAUAUUAGAUCCUAUAUUCUCAUUCAAUUUAGGCCUACUAUCCACUUAAACAAUAUGUCAUCAAGUUUCAGGACAAGUUUCUAAUUUACCAAUUAAUUUACAAGUUUCUAUUUAUGUAAACGCUGCGUAACUUUCAUGUGUUUGAUGGAGGCGUGAGUUGAACAUUCGAGGCGCAUUUAAACUGGAGUGGAGGGAGUUUCCAUGGAAACGGGGCGGCAACUCAGCUGACAAGUACCAAAAAAACUCCGUCUCUCACUGUUGUUUUUACUGCUUUCAGAAAUGGUUCAGUGUCAUCAGAAAAAGUCCGUUAGCAUCACAACCGUGAGCUAACUGUAGAGGCUAACUAUUAGAGAUUCUGUGCCCAUUGACUGCCAUUAUAUGACUGAUAGACUGCAACGGUUCUUCUACUGAAGAAACAAAGUCACCUACUUCUUGGAUGGCCUUGGGUCUUCCAUGCUUGAUGACCGUGCAGCAGAGUUGGAGGGGACCUCUUGUUGAAGAACAUAUCCAAGACACUAUGAACCAUCUGACUACCUUGGUGAGCAUAAGCGACUUCUUUCAGAAACAUCUUCAAGAAAAAUCUUACUGACCCCAAACAUUUGAACGGUAGUGUAUAUCUACACAUCCAUAGAAGCAGUUCCUAGUUCCAGAUCACACAAUCAAAGACAUCAGCGGUGCUUCCUUCGCUGGCUUCUACUACAUCUGUUUCCAGAAGUCUACAGCCACCAUAGAGGGUUACUACUACCACAGAAGCUCUGAAUGGUAUCAGUCUUUGAACCUCACACGUCCCUGAACACAGCGCACCCAUCUACGAGUUCGGUGACACUGAAGUCCUCGAGGUGAAUCUACAGCGGACAGAGGAAAUGGACAUCAGAGAAAGAGAAGAACUGUCUAAUGAUUACGCCCAGGACUCGGCUGUCCUCUCCCCUCAAUGAAAGAAUAAACAGAGGUACAGAUGAUGGAGGAAGGAACUCUUUCAGGAGACUCUCUACACAAGCCGAUCGAGCGAGUGGGA